AAGAAAAUGAAAAAGGAAAAGGAAACUUUGAAAGAAAUCCUCUAUUCCAUUUUCUCCUUUUGGUCAACGCCUACAGGAACCUCACCUCUACUAAGGAGCUGGCCUUGGAGUGUUGUUAGACUGAGCCACUGCUGCAUGCUGUUUGUGCAAAAUGCUGGCAAGAAGAAUAUCGAGCAAGCUCUCUGGGAAGUCAGAUCAUCACAGGGGGAUUGGUGGGCAUGGCAUCAGAAUUGAACUGGACUGUUUAAUGGCAUAGAAUUCUGAUAGAUGGAUUUAUCACUUGCUAACAUGGGGACCUAGCUCCCAUCAGCCUAAGAGCAGCUUCUCUAAGUGGUGCUUCGAGAGACCUUCCCAAAGUUUAUCUCUAUGACUUUUCUUUGUUUUUGUGGCAUAGUGUUUUCACAUUCAGCCACUGAUUUCUCAGAUAUUUGCCCACACAAAGACCCACUGGUCAGGAAUUGCUAUUCUUUAUAUCAAGAGUUUCCAACCAAGUUGAAAUAAGUGCAAAUCCUGAUGCUAAGAACCAAACUCAAGAACCGUUCAGCCUUCAUUAGAGCAAGUCUUGUUAUUUAGAAGUUAACCAGUCGGAAACUCAUUGCAUAGCGGCCUCUGAUGAAUGAACAUCAUCAUUCCAUUUACCCGAUCACGAAUGUGUCCUUUCCCAGAGGUGAGUAAUUUUAAUUUUCGUGGCUCAGCUGCUGAAUCUGCAGUCUUUGCUUUUGUAACCGCACACUAUGCAGGGUAAAGAUAGAGGCAAAGUCAAGAAAGUGAAGACUCAAGGGGAGUGUCCUCAGUCCUUCCCUUCCUCUCCCUUAGUUCUUGCCUCUUCUCCUAUUUCCCUUCCUGCCACUCCAAACCCAGCUUCCCUUC
rnacentral:lncRNA from 12 species